ACUGGGUUGGCCGAGUGGUUAAGGCGUUGGACUUAAGUUCCAAUGGACGAAUGUCCGCGUGGGUUCGAACCCCACACCCAGUA
rfam:Ciona intestinalis ciona0101, whole genome shotgun sequence.